rnacentral:lncRNA from 1 species
AAUCCCAGGAAAGGCAGGAGGGCACUCCUCCAAUGGGAACCUGGAGCCGUCGGUAGCGGUGGCGGCCUGCGACCUCGCAAUAGCUCCGGCAGGCGGGAGGGACGCGUCCAGUGCUUUCGCGAGGUCCUGCUGCCUGCCGCUGGAACCUGGUCGAGCGAGGCAGCGGCGACGCCGACGGUCUGAAGUUCCCGGUCAGCGGGUUGCGGAGGAUCGUGCGGGUAGCAAAGGGAGGGCGAGUGCUCCUGCGGCCCCAGACGGCAACCAGAACAUACAUCAUUGUUAGAAUCAUCACCCUGCAGCUAGCUUGGACACCAUUAAAAGGGCUCAUCAACUGCAAACGGAUAGAAGUAUCUGAUAUUCGUGAAGACAGAGUUUCAGGGCUUCUGCCUGGAGCUACACUCUCCAGAAGCCCCUGCUUGGCCUCUCUGCACCCAACCCCACCCCAACCAGUCACAGCUUGGGUCGUGUGUGGUGUUUCUUGGCAACUGGAAAACAGACUCCUCCAGCAGCUCCACAGGCCCCUUGUCCUCACUGAGCAGAAGACUACAGAAGCUGGCUACUGAAGAAGCUGUCCAAGUCUUAGAGCUCCUCCUUGGCCCUGCUUAGCACACUUACCACAGAGCAGUAACCGAGUGCUGGCUGUUACUCAUUUGCGCUUACUACCUGCAGGGACUUCAGAGGGAUUUGUCAGACCCCAUUUCACCCUAAGGCCACUCCCUAAGAAUCUCCACAGGAGGCUACCCAUAGAGAGAGGUGGCUUGCCUAGGGUCUCCACUGCCUUAGGUCAUACGUGGACACUUCCAGGGCUAAGGGGAUUAAUAUCUUUUUGCCUACCUGUAACCCACAUAUCCAUUGGAAAAUUCUGCCUCCUGCUAUUUUCUGUUCUUUUAUUUGUUUUUUGGUAGGAAGAGUUUUAACUACUUCUUCAGUUCCUUUAAUAGUUGGAGGAUUAUUCAGGAUUUCUUUUUCUUCUUGCGUUAAUUUUGGUAAGUUAUAGUUUUCUAGGAAUUGGUCCAUUUUGUCUGUGUUCUCAAACUUGUCGGCAUAAAGUUUCCUUGUUUUUUUGUUCUCUGUUCUAUCUGUAGUUAUGUCUCCUUUUUCAUUGCUGAUAUUGGUUAUUUGUGCUUUCUCACUUUUUUUCUUGAUCAAUCUCUCCAGAGGUUUGUCUAUUUUAUUAGUCUUUUCAAAGAACCAGCUUUUGGCUUUGUUGCUCCUCUCUAUUGUGUCUUUGUUUUCUAUUUCUUUAAUUUCUGCUCUUAUCUUUUUUGAUCUCCUUCCUUCCACAUUUUUUGGAUUUAUUCUGUUGUUCUUUUUCUAAUUUCUUAAAUUGGGCACAGAGCUCAUUAAUUUUUGUGCAUUUAAGGACAUAACUUUCCCUCUAACUACUGCUUUUCUUCAAGUUCAGACAUGUCGUAUUUUAUUAUUGUUCGGUUCCAAGUACUCAGCAUUUCCAUCGUGGUUACUUCUUUGACCUGCGAGAAGUGUGUUUCUAAAUAUUUGGAGAUUUAAAAUUUUACCUCUUUGUUAUUGAAAUUUGUCUUAAUUGCAUUAUGAUCAGAGGAUGUGAUCUGUGUGAUAAAAGCUCUGAAAUUUAUUGAGACUUGUUUUAUGGCUUAGUACGUGAUCAGUAUUUUUGAAUGUUUCCUAUGUGAUUUAUAAGAAUGUAUGUUCUCUAAUUGUUGAAUACAGAGUUCUACAUAUGUCUAUUAUCAAGUUUGUUAAUUGUAUUGUUCACAUUUUCUAUAUCUACUGAUUUUCGGGGGGUCGUACUAUACCAUGAAUUGUAAGGUGUGUUAAUAUUCAGUUCUGAUGGUGGAUUUAUCUGUUUCUUCUUGUAAUUCUCUUUUUCUUUACAUGUUUUGAGGGUAUUUUAUUAGGAAUAUUCAAAUCAAGAAUUGUUAUAUAUUCCUGCUAAACAUGUAUGACGUUCUCUAUUCCUGAUAAUGCAUUUUUCCUUGAAGUCUAUUGUAUCUUACAGUAAUAUAGAAACACAGACUUUUCUCCUGUUAGGAUUUGUGUUACUUUGAAACAUUUUCAUGCCUUAAUACUUUAAUUAUGUCUCUUGGGAAUGGCAUACAGCUGGACCUUUUAAAAAUCGAAUCUAAUGCUCUCUAUCUUUUAAUGGGCAAGUUUAGUCUGUUUACAUAUAUUGUGAAAUAUUUGGAUUUUUCUCUACCGUCAUAGUUUUUUAUUUCUAUUUCCUACCACCACCUUUGUGAUGCUUCAUUUUUCUCUUUUUUUGCCUGCUUUUUUCAUUUGUUUGUUUCCUUAUUCUAUUUUUUUCCUCAUUGCGGUUUGGAAUUUACCUGUUCUUUUCCCAUUAUUUCUGUGGUUAUCCUUGAGGUUUUGCUGUGCACAUAUAACUUAUAAGUUUUUAAGUUAAAACAGUGCUGGAGUUCCCAUCAUGGUGCAGUGGAAACGAAUCCGACUAGGAACCAUGAGGUUGCGGGUUCGAUUCCUGACCUUGCUCAGUGGGUUAAGGAUCCGGCAUUGCCAUGAACUGUGGUGUAGGUCGCAGACAUGGCUUGGAUCUAAUGUGGCUAUGGCUGUGGUGUAGGCCUGCAGCCGUAGCUCCAAUUCGACCCCUAGCCUGGGAACCUCCAUGUGCCAUGGGUAUGGCCCUAAAAAACAAACAUAAAUCAAUCAAUCAAUAAAGUUAAACAGUACUUUAACAUCCUUCUUGAAUGCGAGAAGCUUAGAAACAUUCAACUCUAGUCAUUCCUCUCUUGGACCACGUGUUAUUUUUUUGAGUAUAUUUAUUUCCUCCCUUUCCCCCCCUAACCUCACAAAUUCUAUAUCAUCCUUAGUAUUAUUUUAUGUAGAUGGUGUGUGUUUGGAUUUUCAUGCAUAUAUUCUUGCAUCUCAGACCAUCAUUCUGGGAUCAUUUUCCUGCAUUAUGAAUACAGUGUUGAGAUGCCCUUUUAGUACAGAUUUGUUGGUGUUAAAUUCUCCCAGUCUUUAUUAUAUGUAAAUGUCUUUAUUCUAUACUCAUUCUUAAAAGAUAGAUUGUUAUAGGUAAUAUUAGAAGUCCAUUGUCAGUCUAAUUACUAUUUUUGUAGGUGUUUUUGUUUUCUGGGUAUUCUCAAGGUCUCUCUCUCUCAUGGAGGAGAAUGUUCAGGGGGUUCUGCACUUUCAUUCUAUUAGUGUUUCGGUAUGUAUUUCUUUUUUAUUUAUUGUACUUUGGAAAUGUGCUUCAUGCCUCUGGAUUCAUGUUUUUCAUAAUUUCUAGAAAGUUCUCAGUCAUUAUCUCUUCAAAUAUUGCCUUUCCUCCAUUAUUUCUAUGUUUUCUUUCUCAGAAUUCAGUUAGUCAUAUUUUGCAUCUCUUCAUUCUAUCUUCCAUAUCUCGUAACAUCUCAUUGAUAUUUUCUAUCUUGUCUUCUUGCACUUCAUUGUGGACAAUUUCUUCAGAUAUAUCUUUCAGCUUAUUGAUUCUCUCUUCAGCUGUGUCUGAUCUGCUGUUUAAUCUGUCCACAGAAUUUUUUAUUUCAACAAUGGUAUUUUUCAUUUGUACAGCCUUCAUAUAUUUCACUUACCAAUCUGCCUGGUCAUCUCUUAAUAGUUUCUUGUUGCUUGCUCAUCUUUGUGGUUGCCUCUGUUAUUUCUUUAAACAUUUUAUACAAUUUUUGUUCAACCAGUGUCACUGUUUGCCUGAGUAUGGCAUUGUAAAUAUUGUUCACAUCCAGACUACAUAGUACAGUCUAAUGACAUAUCCUUUGUUACAUACCUUUUUGUUUUCCUAGUAAUUCCCUCGUUUUUUUGGUUUGUUUUUUUUUUCUUUUGCCUAGUGUUCUAAUACCAUUACUAGGUCUUCUCUGAAAUUCUUUUAAAAAUCCCUAUCAGGCUGUGUCCCUCCUCUGCUCAAAAUUCUCCCAUAACUCCCAUCUCCCUCAGAAUAAAAGCCAAAGCUCUCACCAUGGCCCCAAAGUUUCUACACAAGCUGGUCCCCAUAACCUCUCUGACCUGGCCUCAUAUCACUCUUCCCAUCACUCACUCUUCUCCAGCCACAUUGGCCUCCUUGCUGUCCCUUAAACAUGCCAGAUAUCCCCCCUCUUCAGAGCCUUUGUACUUGCUGUUAUCACUGUCUGGAACACUCUAAAUUGUAGAUAAUCUGAUGACUUGCCCACCCACUUCUAGUAUGCUCAAAUGUCACCUCCCUCGAGAAGCAUUCCCUAACCACCAUAUCUAAAAUAACCCCAUUCACCAGCACUUUCAUCAUCCCCUUAUCCUAUUUAUGGCUUAUGUUUUUCUGCAGAGCACUGAUCACCACCUGAUAUAUUUAUUUAUUUAUUGUGAUUAGUGUUUGUCUGUCCCCAAUAGACUGUAAGCUCCACAAAGCAGGACUCUUGUUUUUGUUCUUUGCUGUAUCCCCAGUGCCGAGAACAGUGCAUAGUAAUAUUGAGUAGAUACUCAAUAAAUAUUUGUGGAAUAAACUGAAUGAAUUAAUG